ensembl:lncRNA
GUUCCUUAUAUUUUAUUCGAUACCUUUUUAAUAUUAUCCAGUAUGUGUGCUUAUCAACAACCCCAUUUCUGCUUCGCUCCACCCCCCAUCAUCCACAUUGUUCGUGGACAGCGCUGGUCGUGCUGAUAGCACAGUGGCUGGUAAACACAGCCAGUCACAACAUACCUGUACAUCUCCCUUAUUGCUAUAUCCCAUGGUUCCCAUUUUAAACACAGAAAAUAUAUAUUGAUGUCCAUUGAUCAAUAGCAAAGCAGUCAAAAAUACUGUCCUCUGCAGAGAUGUGUCUGUGUGAGAGCUGUGGGACUGUCACUGCGGUUACAAAACAGAACAAAGCCAUCUGAUAGAGAGUGAUGUACCGUAGCGCGUCAUGUCCCACUCCUGCACAUUACCAAAAUCAAAGAGAUUAUACAUUGCAAACAAUGUUUCUUUUAAAAACCAUAAUGAUGAUAUGAAUCUGUACAUACACACAGUUUGGUGAACAUUGCUUAUCUUUAUCAUGGUGAUGAUGACGUCACUUAAGAAUCUAAAAUAAAUACAGAAAUAUAAAUAGGUUCUAUGGAAAUAUAUAAAUCUGUAUACGUAAAUAUACAUUGACAUAUGAUCCUAAGUAUCAUCAGAGUAUGUGAGAUAUACAUAAUUCAGCAAAACGAAAGCUACAGUAAGAGAGAGAAGCAGGUUGGUUCUGAGCCCUCACCUCCACUCCAUGUACUGUAUGCCCUUUCCCCCCUAAGCCAGUGAGGAGGACUGGAGGGUCUUGCUCCAAAGCAGCCUUGUUUGACUAACACCCAUGGCGCCUCUGUGUUGCUAGGUGAUGUGGUUCUGAAUUGCACACUCAUGCGCUCCCCCAUCCUUGAUUUGACGCACUCACAUGCUACACUCUCACUAAACUGGGCCAUAUCCGGGUUGCACCCUUAACACUGCUCUCAACAGCAUACUUCGGGAUAAAACUCACAUAAUUAUCAUGUUAUUCAUGUUAUUCUAUCUGACAGAAGUAGAGGGGAAAGAGGUCAGUUGCAUCAGGCCCUGCCAUAAACAGUAGUUUUAACCACAUGCCAUUUCUCUAUUUGAAAUAUGUUGCUACAUGUGUCCCUGCCUCAGAUGCCUGGGAUGGUUUGUUUGUUGAAGGUUAAGAAUGAAUCUGUGGUUCUAAAUGAGUUAUGAAGGCGUCUAGUAAACACAACCCCCCCCAGCCUCCGAAAUAGCAGGUUCAAUUCUGCUGCUGUUACAUCUAAUCCUCAAUCACUGCAGCUGAUUUCAUUUUAGUGUGCACCACUGGGUUCCCCCACCCACAUUCACGGCCCAGUAAUACAGCACAAUGGGAAGUGGGGAGGCAAAGAUUAGGUUCGGAAAUUGGGAGUGGCCCAAAUGGAAUCAAAAUGUGUUGUGUUACAGAGACCGCCAUGAAUUGGAAAUGCUGCUGGGUAUGCCAGGAGAAGCUUCUCAAAGUCUCCCAUAUAGACAGAGUCCAGGAUGAAGCAAUACAACAGCAGCACAGAAUCCCAUUCCCUCCAUUUCCUCCAGCUCUCCAGCCCUGGCUAGUGCUAUAGGACCAGAGCAUGCUAACACACUAAGGCCCUGGAGUGAUCUGGACAGAGGUGAACACAAUGACAUACAUCUGCAGGCAGAAGGAAGGAGAAUGAACUUCCACCCUGCCAUUCUACAGUAAACUUGUUUGUUCUGUUUUUACUGAAUUACAGAAAGACAACAUCCAAGGGUUAUAUCUGCCUACCCUGAAAUGAAUUCAGAAUGGAGGGGCUGUUUGUAUUUGGAUUGAGUAGUCUUUAGUUGCCAUGCUCUCACUGUCCUUGAUAUGCUUUCUCUGGCAUUCCACAACACAUCAACCUUCCCAUGUUGGAUGGAGGGUAAAAGGGAAAUGGAAUGGAAAUAACUCUACUGUAUAUUGAGUCAGUCUCUGAUAUGUAGAAUUCAAACACGGUUCACUGUUUUGUAGAAUUGAGUCUAUAGUCUACUAUAGAUGGUCUUUAUGGAUGAACUCUGAAAUCUCCAAGGACAUAAAGUUGGUAUGCCUCUGUUCCCCACAGACAUCCUUAAAGACAAUCUAUAGAAAUCUACAAAUAGAUUAGCAGUAAUUAAUCAAAGACACUGUCUAGAUUUGACAGUUCAUGCAGCUUUUGUAUUCUGAUCAUGGAGGUCUGAUCAGGGAGGUCUGAAAACCUCACACAUCUACACCUACAUUUAAAUGUGUCUACCGUGUCCACAUUGUGUCCGGAUUCCCUUUUCCUGUGCUAAUAUUCAAAUGCAGUAUGCAUUCUGCAAAUGGUGGAACAGGCUAAAUCUGAUAAUAACAAAACAAAUUGAUGGCAGUAGCCAACUACUGUAGCUAACUAGCCAGCUAAACUCUGCCAGCAAACUAGCUGGCCCCCCCCCCACCCAAAAAUAUAUAUUUUUUUAUAUUAGCUAGCUGGCUAGCAUUUAUGAAGCCAGCAAACACGUUCCUCACAUGCUAGGUAUGUACACUACCGGUCAAAAGUUUUAGAACACCUACUCAUUCCAGGGUUUUUCUUUAUUUGUACUAUUUAUACAAAGUAUAACAAUAGUGAAGACAUCAAAACUAUAAAAUGACACAUAUGGAAUCAUGUAGUAACCAAAAAAGUGUAAAACAAAUCAAAAUUUGUUUUAUACUUGAGAUUCUUCAAAUAGCCACCGUUUGCCUUGAUGAAGGCUUUGCACACUCUUGGCAUUCUCUCAACCAGCUUCACCUGGAAUGCUUUUACAACAGUCUUGAAGGAGUUCCCACAUAUGCUGAGCAUUUGUUGGUUGCUUUUCCUUCACUCUCCGGUCCAACUCAUCCCAAACCCUCUCAAUUUGGUUGAGGUCGGGGGAUUGUGGAGGCCAGGUCAUCUGAUGCAGCACUCCAUCACUCUCCUUCUUGGUAAAAUAGCCCUUACACAGUCUGGAGGCGUGUUGGGUCAUUGUCCUGUUGAAAAACAAAUGAUAGUCCCACUAAGUGCAAACCAGAUGGGAUGGUGUAUCGCUGCAGAACGCUAUGGUAGCCAUGCUGGGUAAGAGUGCCUGACAGACAGUGUCACCAGCAAAGCACCCCCACACCCCCAACACCUCCUCCUCCAUGAUUUACGGUGGGAAAUACACAUGCGGAGAUCAUCCAUUCGCCCACACUGCGUCUCACAAAGACACUGCGGUUGGAACCAGAAAUCUCACAUUUUGACUCCAGACCAAAGGACAAAUUUCCACCGAUCUAAUGUCCAUUGCUCGUGUUUCUUGGCCCAAGCAAGUCUCUUCUUCUUAUCGGGGUCCUUUAGUAGUGGUUUCUUUGCAGUAAUUCGACCAUGAAGGCCUGAUUCACACAGUCUCCUCUGAACAGUUGAUGUUGAGAUGUGUCUGUUACUUGAACUCCGUGAAGCAUUUAUUUGGGCUGCAAUUUCUGAGGCUGGUAAAGAACUUGAAGAAACUUUGAAGAAACUUAGAAAGUUCUUGAAAUUUUCCAUCUUGACUGACCUUCAUGUCUUAAAGUAAUGAUGGACUGCCGUUUGUCUUUGCUAAUUUGAUCUGCUCUUGCCAUUGUAUGGACUUGGUCUGUCAGCAAAUAGGGCAUCUUCUGUAUACCCCUCCCCCC